GAUGAACGCUAGCUACAGGCUUAACACAUGCAAGUCGAGGGGCAGCAUGGUCUUAGCUUGCUAAGGCCGAUGGCGACCGGCGCACGGGUGAGUAACGCGUAUCCAACCUGCCUUACACUCUUGGACAGCCUUCUGAAAGGGAGAUUAAUACAAGAUGUUAUCAUGAGUAAGCAUUUUCGCAUGAUUAAAGGUUUACCGGUGUAAGAUGGGGAUGCGUUCCAUUAGAUAGUUGGUGGGGUAACGGCCUACCAAGGCGACGAUCAGUAGCCGGACUGAGAGGUUGAACGGCCACAUUGGGACUGAGAUACGGCCCAG
rnacentral:rRNA from 1 species